UACGAAGGGGGCUAGCGUUGUUCGGAAUCACUGGGCGUAAAGGGCGCGUAGGCGGCCUGAUAAGUCGGGGGUGAAAGCCUGUGGCUCAACCACAGAAUUGCCUUCGAUACUGUUAGGCUUGAGACCGGAAGAGGUAAGUGGAACUGCGAGUGUAGAGGUGAAAUUCGUAGAUAUUAGGAAGAACACCGGUGGCGAAGGCGGCCCACUGGAUCGGUACUGACGCUGAGGUGCGAAAGCGUGGGGAGCAAACAGG
rnacentral:rRNA from 1 species